rnacentral:rRNA from 1 species
GAUGAACGCUGGCGGCGUGCCUAAUACAUGCAAGUCGAGCGAACAGACGAGGAGCUUGCUCCUCUGACGUUAGCGGCGGACGGGUGAGUAACACGUGGAUAACCUACCUAUAAGACUGGGAUAACUUCGGGAAACCGGAGCUAAUACCGGAUAAUAUAUUGAACCGCAUGGUUCAAUAGUGAAAGACGGUUUUGCUGUCACUAAUAGAUGGAUCCGCGCCGCAUUAGCUAGUUGGUAAGGUAACGGCUUACCAAGGCAACGAUGCGUAGCCGAACUGAGAGGGUGGUCGGCCGCACUGGAGCUGAGACACGCUCCAUACUACUAAGAGAGGCAGCAGUAGGCAAUCUGCCGCAACGGGCGAAAGCCUGACGGAGCAACGCCGCGUGAGUGAUGAAGGUCUUCGGAGCGUAAAACUCUGUUAUUAGGGAAGAACAAAUGUGUAAGUAGCUAUGCACGUCUUGACGGUACCUAGUCAGAAAGCCACGGCUAACUACGUG